rnacentral:rRNA from 1 species
UGGGGAAUAUUGCACAAUGGGCGCAAGCCUGAUGCAGCGACGCCGCGUGGGGGAUGACGGCCUUCGGGUUGUAAACUCCUUUCGCUAGGGACGAAGCUUUUUGUGGCGGUACCUAGAUAAGAAGCACCGGCUAACUACGUGCCAGCAGCCGCGGUAAUACGUAGGGUGCGAGCGUUGUCCGGAAUUACUGGGCGUAAAGGGCUCGUAGGUGGUUUGUCGCGUCGUCUGUGAAAUUCCGGGGCUUAACUCCGGGCGUGCAGGCGAUACGGGCAUAACUUGAGUACUGUAGGGGUAACUGGAAUUCCUGGUGUAGCGGUGAAAUGCGCAGAUAUCAGGAGGAACACCGAUGGCGAAGGCAGGUUACUGGGCAGUUACUGACGCUGAGGAGCGAAAGCAUGGGUAGCGAACAGG